rnacentral:rRNA from 1 species
UACGAAGGGUGCAAGCGUUACUCGGAAUUACUGGGCGUAAAGCGUGCGUAGGUGGUUCGUUAAGUCUGUCGUGAAAGCCCCGGGCUCAACCUGGGAAUGGCGAUGGAUACUGGCGGGCUAGAGUGCGGUAGAGGAGAGUGGAAUUCCCGGUGUAGCAGUGAAAUGCGUAGAGAUCGGGAGGAACAUCAGUUGCGAAGGCGGCUCUCUGGACCAGCACUGACACUGAGGCGCGAAAGCGUGGGGAGCGAACAGG